GGGUUCCUGCCAUGUCUAGGUAUAGCAAUUAUACCGCGAAACUGCGAAUGGCUCAUUAUAUAAGUUAUCGUUUAUUUGAUAGUACCUUACUACUUGGAUAACCGUGGUAAUUCUAGAGCUAAUACAUGCUAAAAAUCCCGACUUCGGAAGGGAUGUAUUUAUUAGAUUAAAAACCAAUGCCCUUCGGGGCUCACUGGUGAUUCAUGAUAACUCCUCGAAUCGCAUGGCCUUGUGCCGGCGAUGGUUCAUUCAAAUUUCUUCCCUAUCAACUUUCGAUGUUUGGGUAUUGGCCAAACAUGGUUGCAACGGGUAACGGAGGGUUAGGGCUCGACCCCGGAGAAGGAGCCUGAGAAACGGCUACUACAUCCAAGGAAGGCAGCAGGCGCGCAAAUUACCCAAUCCCGACACGGGGAGGUAGUGACAAUAAAUACUGAUACAGGGCUCUUUUGGGUCUUGUAAUUGGAAUGAGUACAAUUUAAAUCCCUUAACGAGGAACAAUUGGAGGGCAAGUCUGGUGCCAGCAGCCGCGGUAAUUCCAGCUCCAAUAGCGUAUAUUAAAGUUGUUGUGGUUAAAAAGCUCGUAGUUGAACCUUGGGCCUGGCUGGCCGGUCCGCCUCACCGCGUGUACUGGUCCGGCCGGGCCUUUCCCUCUGUGGAACCCCAUGCCCUUCACUGGGUGUGGCGGGGAAACAGGACUUUUACUGUGAAAAAAUUAGAGUGCUCCAGGCAGGCCUAUGCUCGAAUACAUUAGCAUGGAAUAAUAGAAUAGGACGUGUGGUUCUAUUUUGUUGGUUUCUAGGACCGCCGUAAUGAUUAAUAGGGACAGUCGGGGGCAUCAGUAUUCAAUUGUCAGAGGUGAAAUUCUUGUAUUUAUUGAAGACUAACUACUGCGAAAGCAUUUGCCAAGGAUGUUUUCAUUAAUCAGGAGCGAAAGUUAGGGGAUCGAGACGAUCAGAUACCGUCGUAGUCUUAACCAUAAACUAUGCCGACUAGGGAUCGGACGGUGUAUUUUUUGACCCGUCGGCACCUUACGAGAAUCAAGUGCUUGGCCUCCAGGGGGAGUAUGGUCGCAAGCUGAACCUAAAGAAAUGACGAAGACACCACCUAGGGUUGAAGCCUGCCGA
rnacentral:rRNA from 1 species